rnacentral:rRNA from 1 species
CCUACGGGAGGCUGCAGUGAGGAAUAUUGGUCAAUGGACGAGAGUCUGAACCAGCCAAGUAGCGUGAAGGAUGACUGCCCUAUGGGUUGUAAACUUCUUUUAUAUGGGAAUAAAACAGGGUAUGCAUACCCUCUUGUAUGUACCAUAUGAAUAAGGAUCGGCUAACUCCGUGCCAGCAGCCGCGGUAAUACGGAGGGUCCGAGCGUUAUCCGGAUUUAUUGGGUUUAAAGGGAGCGUAGGUGGAUUGGUAAGUCAGUUGUGAAAGUUUGGGGCUCAACCGUAAAAUUGCAGUUGAAACUGGCAGUCGUGAGUACAGUAGAGGUGGGCGGAAUUCGUGGUGUAGCGGUGAAAUGCUUAGAUAUCACGAAGAACUCCGAUUGCGAAGGCAGCUCACUGGACUGCAACUGACACUGAUGCUCGAAAGUGUGGGUAUCAAACAGGAUUAGAUACCCCAGUAGUC